CUGGGCGCGGCUUCUCCCGCGCCGGGCACCCCCAGCUCGCAGUGUGCCCAACGUGGGGGCUGUAGUCGCCGCCAGAGUGGGCGCCAGGCCCCCGGCUUUGCUUUUGCGGCUACAUUUCCCCCUUUCCGGGAAUCUGCUGCUCACCCCGCAGAAAGGAUAUGGGACCGGCGUGGGAGGGAUGCCUCCAAGUUGUGAGAAAAUCAAGCAUCUACAAGGAAAGGCCACAUGUCGGCAUUCCAGCCACAGCCUCAGCUGAGGUCAGAGCUAACAGCCAGCAUCAACCACUAACCACACAAGUGAAGGAGACUUCGAAGCUUCAAACUGCCCCAGCUAAUGCCAAGUGCAGCAGAGAUGAGUUGUCCCUGCCGAAAUUGCAGACUCAUGAGCAAAAUAAAUGUAGUUGUUUUAAGACACUAAGUUUGAGAAUGUUUUGUUACACAGCAUGAGAUAACUGGAACACCAUGAGGUAGAUAAAUUAUAACCUGGUGAUUCCAGGCACCCCGAUCUCAUUUGGGGAUUUUUUCCCUAGUUACUUAAAGUAACACACAUAUACUUAUUCAAUAAAUGUUUAUUGAAUGCUCACAAAAUAUCUGGGAGCAUUCUGG
rnacentral:lncRNA from 1 species